ACAGGAAGGUUAGCAGAAUGAGUGAGCUGUUGCACUAAACAGUCUAGCAUAAACCAUUAAAACAUCCAAACACAUUUUGCUCAUCAAAGUAAAUCCUGUAAAGCAGUUUAGAUGAAAGUAAAAAUAUGGUGCAAAAGCUCUGAGCACAAGUACAGAAUACUACGCCAGCUUCACCAGACAUGCACAAAACAAACAUGCAAUACAAAAAGUUUAUUAAUCUAAAAAGAUCUUUUGCGUUUUAACAUCCUUACACCUUUGAAAACAGAGCUGUAAGUUUUUGAAACUCAUUUUAAUAAAGUACAGUUUUUCAAAGCUCCACUGGCAGCUGCAAGUAAUCCAUUUUAAUGUCAACCAAAUGAGAAAACAUUUUUAUCCAACAUUUGUACAAAUAUCUAGUUAAAAGCAUUUGGACCAGCAUGAUACUAGAAAAUGUAUUGCGAUAUUUAUUUUUAUUUCUUACAAAGUAAGCAAUGUCAUAAACAAGAAGUCAACUUUAUCAUUUAGAGGUUCUCGGUUAAAAAAAUUUGAAUAGUUGUAGGCAUCAGAUGAAAUAGUAAUAAACUCAACAAAAACAAUCCUGUAAACAGCAUUCUUUAAUCUUUCAACAUUUUAAAGAUUUUAAAUGAAAGAGACAGUCUAUUAUCACAACAUGCUUGUUCAAGAGGGAAUGCUGCAUCAGUGCAAUAUGGUGGGUUUACUUAUAAAAUUGGAACCAAUUUGAACCAUUUCUCCUUCUAGACAAUGCACUUCACUUGACCAUGUCUCUCUCUGUGUCCUGGAUAAAGCUGUUGGCUGAGAUUUUCGCUGCAACUUUUUCAUCCUGUAGCCGUUUAAACCAGCUCAGAGUUUAUCUGUUACGUUUCUUCCAGAUGAAGCCUCAGAAGU